rnacentral:rRNA from 1 species
GACGAACGCCGGCGGCGUGCUUAACACAUGCAAGUCGAACGGUGAAAGCGGAGCUUGCUCCGCUGGAUCAGUGGCGAACGGGUGAGUAACACGUGGGCAACCUGCCCCUGACUUCGGGAUAACUCCUCGUAAGAGGUGCUAAUACCGGAUACGAAUCCUGCAGGCAUCUGCGGGAUUGGAAAGUUUUUCGGUCAGGGAUGGGCCCGCGGCCUAUCAGCUUGUUGGUGAGGUAGUGGCUCACCAAGGCGACGACGGGUAGCCGGCCUGAGAGGGCGACCGGCCACACUGGGACUGGGACACGGCCCAGACUCCUACGGGAGGCAGCAGUGGGGAAUAGUGCGCAAUGGGCGAAAGCCUGACGCAGCAACGCCGCGUGGGGGAUGACGGCCUUCGGGUUGUAAACCUCUUUCAGCAGGGAAGAAGCGAAAGUGACGGUACCUGCAGAAGAAGCACCGGCUAACUACGUGCCAGCCGCCGCGGUAA